rnacentral:lncRNA from 1 species
GCGGGACGCGCCUCUCUCCUCCCGAACCUUCCCCCGCUCGUCCCUUUCCACACCCCUGACCUCUGAGCGCGGCCGUUCCCGCCACACAUGGAGGGGGGCGGGUGGAGACCCGGGAGGACCGAAGUCACGGGGGCUGUGGGGCCAGGACAGUCCCACAUGUGCCCCUCCUGGGCGGAGGACAAACUGGAGCCAGGAGAAGCCCCAAGGGCUCCACGCGUUCCCCUCCAGGACCCCUCCUGGGGACCCCGAGCCGCGGCCUGGAAAGCCCAUCGUGUUUGCAUCAUCACCUAGAAAUGGUGGGAAGUCGGGUCAAGAGGCCUGAGAAAUGACCGUUUAGAGACGAAAUUCCCUCUAAGGAAGACCCCCUCGCCCAAGGGCAGUGAAGAGAUUGGGGGCCCCAUGCCUGUCUCCUGUGGGCUGAUUCUGUGGGAGCCAUGGCAGCUUCCCCACAGACCUCUUUGGGCCAAGCGACCCUGGAGCAGGGAAGGACAGGAGGGGAGUCAGGCCAGGGGGGUCCAGGGCAGUGGGGCUGAAGCCCCUUCCUGAACCCAGGGAAAGGGAAGCAGUGGGGCCCACCCAGGGGGCCCGGUACCCCAGAUAGUGACAUUUCAGAUACCGGAGCUGUCUCCACCCCACCCCAUCCCCAGGCAGCUUAAGGGGAAAACUUCUGGGAGCCCAGCCCUACAGAGGCCUACCAGGAAGGUUAAGUCAGCCUGGCCUUUGCCGGGGGCAGUGUGGUCGGCACCCGCAGAACGCUGGAGGGGUGUGGGGGUCGGUCCUCAUCACUCCAAACAGACACACACACAUCUAGUUCUUAAGGGGAGAAGCAGCUCCUCCCCCAGGAUGCUGAGAGGAAGCCCCAUAAGCUGCUUGGGCAGAGGCCUCUGCAGCUGCCCCAGGGGAGAUGGGGGUCACCCACUCAUCACAGGCUGGGGAGCCCCUGGGAGACGCACAGGAUGAUGCUCUGGGUGGGGAAGCCUCUACAGGUGGCUGCAGCAGAAGUGGUUUUCAAUAUUAUUAGCCCGUCCCUGCGUCCCCAGGGCUCCCUCCGCCCCAAUCCUCCUGGCUCAGGCACCAGCGCUGUCUCUUGCCGCCCCUCCCUGCAGCUGUCACCCUCCCACCGUCCCUGACUAGCACACAGGAUUGGGAGGGCCAAGCAGGCACCUGGAGCUUGGCAGGGAGGGGGCGUGCAUCUCCAAUGAGACGCUCCAGAAAUAGAGCUUCGGCAUGGGAAGGGAACGAGCAGGCUCUCGGAGGACCGCGAGGCCGGAGGAGCCAUGAGGGGCCAAGGGCAUCUCUUCUUCCCACCUGGAACUCUCGGAAGACAGCCCAGGGGAAAGGUGGAAACGGGCGUGAGCUGCCGCCACCAGGAGCCACCAGCCCAGGAGGCAGCAGCACCGUCCCCUCCUCAAAACAACAACAAGCAAGAACGCUCGGGCCCUCUCCCCACACUGUGGGGUUUUCCUGAUGGCCACAUCCGGCGCUGACUGUGAGGGAGCUAUGGAUGUAUGCUUCUGCGUCAGAAAACCGAGGCCCUGAGCAGCUGAGUAACCCACUCAGAGGAAGAAGAAAUUGAGGUGCAGAGAGGCUAAGCCAUUGGCUAACUAGCAGAUGGCGAUGCUUGGAAAUGAACCAAGUCUGAAUCCAGGGUUCCCGUGUGUAAUCUCUGCAUUGAGCGGCAAUUAGUGAAUGAAUGAAUAAACAGAAUGAAGUUAAACUCAGGGAGGAAGAAAUCGGAGCUACACGAGGGAGGCAGGCAGCGUUAUUUCAGAACCCUCCCAGGGCCACUGAUGAUAAAGUAGAAAGAGAACUGGUAUCCCAAGAAAACCAUAUCUACUACAGCAGGCCAGAUGACCCUGGAGACAAGCUGAACAAAGUCCAGUGACAAUCUCCCAAAUGCCAGUCCCGGCCAAACCCCACUUCUUCAAUGCCUCCGGCCAAUCUCAAGAGUUUCCAGCCUCAGUGUUCACAUCUGUAGACAGUAUGCGCCCAGGGCCAGGCACAGUGGC